rnacentral:rRNA from 1 species
UACGGGGGGGGCAAGCGUUGUUCGGAAUUACUGGGCGUAAAGGGCUCGUAGGUGGCCAACUAAGUCAGACGUGAAAUCCCUCGGCUUAACCGGGGAACUGCAUCUGAUACUGGAUGGCUUGAGAUUGGGAGAGGGAUGCGGAAUUCCAGGUGUAGCGGUGAAAUGCGUAGAUAUCUGGAGGAACACCGGUGGCGAAGGCGGCAUCCUGGACCAACACUGACACUGAGGAGCGAAAGCCAGGGGAGCAAACGGG